CGUCAUAACGGAAAAAGCUGAGAAGAGAAGCCUCUCCUGUGUCCAUGAGGAGCCACAAGUCCAGGGAUCAACCUCCGGUAUUUAAAGAUGGACGCCGUUCUGCUGAUCAAAGAAUCCCUGUGGAAAGACCAGGUUCCCCUGGACUGGACUGUGUGUCCAUGAAGAGUGACAGGUCAAAAGGUCAACACAUCAGUUUUAGAAAA